rnacentral:rRNA from 1 species
GAUCCUGGGCUCAGGAUGAACGCUGGCGGCGUGCCUAAUACAUGCAAGUCGAACGCUUCACUUCGGUGAAGAGUGGCGAACGGGUGAGUAUACAUAAGUAACCUGGCAUCUACAGGGGGGGAUAACUGAUGGAAACGUCAGCUAAGACCGCAUAGGUGUAGAGAUCGCAUGAACUCUAUAUGAAAAGUGCUACGGGACUGGUAGAUGAUGGACUUAUGGCGCAUUAG